CGACGUAUCGGCGGAGAUAAUCAACUCGGGCUGGAUGCUUGAGCUUCAUAAGUGCCUUUACUUCGUGCUUUCGGACCAUUUCUCUCGAAAUGUUUAAGUUCCCAGAAAUUUCUCCUAAUGUUCUAUCACCUUUACCGUCGAGUCCGUAUCUCUGCCUGAUUACCAGGCUCUCUUUUGGCUUCAGAGAAUCGAGCUGAAAAAAUACAGCAAAAAUGAACAAAACAUGGUCCAAGUAAGCAUAUGGGGUUUUUCCGAUCACCGGUGAGUGUAGAUCAAAAGGGGAUGGAGGCUUACCACAUCAUCAAGUGCAAGCCUGAGAAGAGCAGGUUGCCUUCGGUGAUCGCCUCCAACACCAUCGACAUCGGUGAUUCCACUAAUGAACUCUUCUUGUGUGACGGAAUGCCUCAAAUGAAGAGAUGCAACGGGUUUCGAGGCCCUCAUUACUUCUUGGUACCUCUCGGGGGAAAUCCCAACUCUUUUGAUUACUUCAUCGUUUGUCGGUUCUCUAUGAAGUUCAAACAAUAAUUCCAGUUUGGCUCUUUGGAUUUCUACUCUAACCUGCAUCACAAUAAACAGUUCAAAAAUAAUUCAUAUUUCUACUAAAAGAAGCAGCCAGGGCUUCUACUGCUCAGCUUAUCGGUCCAAAAUCUCGAGCCAACAAUUAGCAGCAAAAGGCAGCGGUCGAAAUGUCACUAAAAUAAAUGAACAAACAGAAUAUGCACAUUGGUCUACCCAACACUAUUUCAAUGUAUGAUUUUAUUUCGGCCUCGGGCAUUUCGAGCAUGAUCAUAUCAUCUGCUUGCAGUUAGAUUCCAAUAUUGCUCGUUGUUUCAAGCAAAUCAUAUAUAGCAUACGCUUAAGUGAGAAGAGAGCUUACUGAUUCAAGUCCAAAUGAGACACGCGUGAAGCUUGAUAGGGUCAUGGAACGUAUAAUUGCAUGCCUAAUCCAAAAAAGGCCGUAUGUAGAAAGACGGAAUCUCCUUCUUGGUUCAAAGCGGUCGAUGGCUGUGAUAAGUCCUUUAACUCCAGCCUGACAAAGGUCUUGAAAUCUUGGACCAUUUGCAAAAUCUUGAAAAUAUUUGUUUAUCACAAACAAAACGAGCCGGAGGUUGUGCUGCGUGAAAUAAAGCAAUACCUCUCAGUAGUUAUCAUUGAAAGCCAAUGCCAAAAUGCUCACAAUAAGCUUUAGCCACAAACUAGGCAAACACUGCUAAAAUGGAUAUAUGAUAUCAAAACAUGGCUCUUCUUUAGAAAAGUUCUAUUUGCCUGUGCAGUGUGGGUGAUGGGUGAGGUUUGAUGUUAGAACAACAAGAAAGAAACCCUCAUAAGUGCUUAUGUCAAGAUAUUUAAAAGGGAACCUCAAUGACUGCUGCAAAUUUAUCAAAACUUGGUCAAAUUACUUUCCCACAUGUAAUAUUGGAUCACGGAAAAUUUGGCCGAGGAAUGGUAUGCUAGUGGUACAUCAACACCAAUAGCAUAUAUGAAAGGCUAGUAUAUGCUCUACUAAACCACCUUGAAAGUUUAAACCGUACGUACUAUCACGGUUCCUUUUCUUUUAAUUCGAAGCAUCUCUAAGCAAUACUGGUGGUUGAAGAGGAAUUACCUUAAUGAGCUUAUUUCUAGCAGCUCGACCAACCUCUAACUGUCUUCUCACUUGAGCUGCACUCGAAUUUGUUGCCUCAGCUAAUUCAUCUUCAGUAGGAUCUCUACCCAGAUCCUUUUGCAAGUUCUCUUUUGCCUCAAGCAGUGCCUGCAGUUUCAGCAAAAUAUGUUAGAGGCAAGCACUACCAAUGCUUCAAAAAAACUAAGAAACAUGGAAAACUGAAGGCUAGCAGCAGUCUCCUUUUAUUGAAAAGGUGCAAACCUUCAUUGGCUGCAUUAGCUUAAACAACCAAGUAUGUUCGGUGGACGGCAGAACCGGAGGUAUCUUCAUUUUCUUCCAGUCCAGGCUGACCAAAUCGGUUGAAGCCGAAUAGUCCCGGACAAGCCUAUCGAUCUUCUCACUUUCAUUCGAGAUACCCUUUUUACUCUGGCCAGAAACAACUGACUUUUCUUCUCUAUUCUUUUUCAGUUCAAUCCUUUUAUCAAGGCCCAAUCUUCUAUUCUUCUUAGUCUGGCUCCGAACCACGAUCUUAUC
rnacentral:lncRNA from 1 species